rnacentral:rRNA from 1 species
AAUGAACGCUAGCUACAGGCUUAACACAUGCAAGUCGAGGGGUAGCACGUAGGAAGCUUGCUUCCUUGGGUGACGACCGGCGCACGGGUGAGUAACGCGUAUCCGACCUACCCAUAACACGGGCACAGCCGAUCGAAAGAUCGAUUGAUUCCCGAUAUGUUAUAUAAGUAUAUUAUAUAAUGAAAGAUUCAUCGGUUAUGGAUGGGGAUGCGUAAGAUUAGGUAGUAGGCGGGGUAACGGCCCACCUAGCCGACGAUCUUUAGGGGUUCUGAGAGGAAGGUCCCCCACACUGGUACUGAGACACGGACCAGACUCCUACGGGAGGCAGCAGUGAGGAAUAUUGGUCAAUGGGCGGAAGCCUGAACCAGCCAAGUAGCGUGAAGGAUUACAGCCCUACGGGUUUUAAACUUCUUUUAUAUAAGAGUAAUGUGCACUACGUGUAGUGUAUUGCAAGUAUUAUAUGAAUAAGCAUCGGCUAACUCCGUGCCAGCCGCCGCCGUAAUAC